AAAUAAAGUGGAAACAAGUCGCGGUGGUGCCCACCGGAGGAUCAUUA
rnacentral:rRNA from 1 species